GAUGAACGCUGGCGGCGUGCCUAAUACAUGCAAGUCGAGCGAACGGACGAGAAGCUUGCUUCUCUGAUGUUAGCGGCGGACGGGUGAGUAACACGUGGAUAACCUACCUAUAAGACUGGGAUAACUUCGGGAAACCGGAGCUAAUACCGGAUAAUAUUUUGAACCGCAUGGUUCAAAAGUGAAAUACGGUCUUGCUGUCACUUAUAGAUGGAUCCGCGCUGCAUUAGCUAGUUGGUAAGGUAACGGCUUACCAAGGCAACGAUGCAUAGCCGACCUGAGAGGGUGAUCGGCCAGACUGGAACUGAGACACGGUCCAGACUCCUACGGGGGGCAGCAGUAGGGAAUCUUCCGCGAUGGGCGAAAGCCUGACGGAGCAACGCCGCGUGAGUGAUGAAGGUCUUCGGAUCGUAAAACUCUGUUAUUAGGGAAGAACAUAUGUGUAAGUAACUGUGCACAUCUUGACGGUACCUAAUCAGAAAGCCACGGCUAACUACGUG
rnacentral:rRNA from 1 species